rnacentral:lncRNA from 1 species
GGGAUCAAGGGUAGCUGCAGUCUAUCUGCAGUCCAGUGACCUGGAGGGGUCAGAGGCAGGAAGGAGAGAGAGCAACUCCAGAAAGAACCAUACCAGCAAGGAAUAACUUUGCUACUUUUCCAGAAAAUCACAUCAUCAGCAACUGACCAAGUUCCUACAGAGCCUGGGCAGAGAAUCAGAGAGAUGAUUGAUUCUCCAUGCCUGGCCUCUUUUGUUCCAUGUAUGUUUGUGAAGUGUGUCCAUGAUGCUGUACACAGCGAUAGCUCACUCAUUGCUGAUAAUGAAGCCCAGCAGCUUACCCAUUUCACUGCAGUAAACAACAUAUUGCUUCUUGUUUGUGUGUCCUGAAUCACGGAGACAUGCACUGUACAAUUCCGUGAGUUUGGACGGUUGCCUACAUUUAUACAAACGACCACCUCUGGACUCACUGCUGUUCCAGCUUCUGCAAAUGCUAAGCUCAGCGUUUCCCCACACCAGGUCCGUGUGCUAUAGGUUUUAUUACAGCAUUUCCUAUGCAUGGUUGCAUGCAGUGGACAAUCUUUUCUGCCUGGUUUCAGUGCCUUUCAGAUUUGUCCAAACUCUUGCAUGAAUCGAUUGAAUGUACUUAUUGCUGAAUAGAAUUCUAGUAAAAAGUGUUUAUCCAUUCACGA